UAUUUUCUCUGCUACCCAAUUCUUGUCUACGAGCGUUUCGACUUUCGGCUGUCGUCGUCAUCGAGGAAACGGUGGAGAUCAAUCUCGGUCGAUGACUCUUAUGGCGGCUUCGAGGCCUCCGACGAGAACUCCGGCGAUUUUCUGAAGUCCCUGGAUUGAGUUCCUUCUCGGUCGAGCGCCAUGGCGGCUCCCUUCUUCUCCUCCCCUUUCCAGCCCUACGUCUACCAGGAUUUGUUUGCUCUCAGACGCUGCCAAUACUGUAUGAGAAAUAUGAAGAUCAAAUUGAUAACUUUCUAUAUAAUCUCCUCGGGCAGUUCCAGAAUCACUAUAGCAAGCUGGAUGUGAGUGUGCUGAGUAAACUAUCCAAGGGAAAUCCCAGAUCAAAGAAGAAUGACUAGAGUCCAUCCUUCUUUGGUUCAUCUUGUCUUUUAUUGUGUGAUCGACAUGCUGUAUCGCUGUCAAAUAAAGAUGAAAACCUCCGCCACUAUUGUGAACACAACAGCAGCAAUUCUGUGCAUAGUCCUUUUGCCACCGAAUGCAGGUUUCUGAUAUCCCAACUGGUUGUCAAGCAAUUAUGCAAACAGAGCAUGAUGUUCUUUAGGUCAAUUCCGAUGCAUUCUAAAUGUCUCGUUGAGCAUUCUUAGUUGAUGCUUAA